rfam:Vigna angularis cultivar Jingnong 6 chromosome 1, whole genome shotgun sequence.
CUGUCUCUUGGAGUUCCUCUGAGCACUUCACGCUGGGGCUACUUCUAUUGCCCUUAACAUAGAUAGAAGGCUCUUUGUGGUGAAGUGUUUGGGGGAACUUUUGGAUACAA